UGAGUACGAGAUGCUACGGCAUCGAAGCAGUCUAUGUCAUACUUCCAAGAAAAGCUUGCAAUGUCAUAAACAAAUAAUGCCUGUACCAUAACCGACACAGGUGGGUAGGUAGAGUAUACUAAGGGGCGCGAGAUAACUCUCUCUAAGGAACUCGGCAAAAUGACUCCGUAACUUCGGGAGAAGGAGUGCCUUAUUUUUAUAAGGUUGCAAUAACAAGAUCCAAGCAACUGUUUACCAAAAACACAGGUCUCCGCUAAGUCGUAAGACGAUGUAUGGGGGCUGACGCCUGCCCAGUGCCAGAAGGUUAAAGAAGUUGGUUAGCAUUAGCGAAGCUGAUAACUGAAGCCCUGGUGAACGGCGGCCGUAACUAUAACGGUCCUAAGGUAGCGAAAUUCCUUGUCGGGUAAGUUCCGACCCGCACGAAAGGCGUAAUGAUUUGGAUACUGUCUCGGAGAGGGGCUCGGUGAAAUAGACUUGUCUGUGAAGAUGCGGACUACCUGCACCUGGACAGAAAGACCCUAUGAAGCUUUACUGUAACUUGAGAUUGAAAUUGGACUUUAUCUGCGCAGUAUAGGUGGGAGACGUUGAAAAUAUUCUUGCGGGAAUAUUGGAGUCAUCAGUGAGAUACCACUCUUAUAAUGUUAGAUUUCUAACUUUGUAUCAUUAUCUGGUCAAAGAACAGUUUCAGGCGGGCAGCUUGACUGGGGCGGUCGCCUCCCAAACGGUAACGGAGGCGCACAAAGGUUUCCUCUGAACGUGUAGAAAUCGUAUCUAGAGUGUAAAGGCAUAAGGAAGCUUGACUGUGAGACCUACAAGUCGAGCAGGGACGAAAGUCGGUCUUAGUGAUCUGACGGUGCUGAGUGGAAAGGCCGUCACUCAACGGAUAAAAGUUACUCUAGGAUAACAGGCUGAUCUCCCCCAAGAGUUCGCAUCGACGGGGAGGUUUGGCACCUCGAUGUCGGCUCAUCGCAUCCUGGGGCGGUAGUACGUCCCAAGGGUUGGGCUGUUCGCCCAUGAAAGCGGUACGCGAGCUGGGUUCAGAACGUCGUGAGACAGUUCGGUCCAUAUCCGGUGUAGGCGUUAGAAUAUUGAGAGGAGCCUUCUUUAGUACGAGAGGACCGAGAAGGACAUACCUCUGGUGUACCAGUUAUCGUGCCAACGGUAAACGCUGGGUAGCCAUGUAUGGAGAGGAUAACCGCUGAAAGCAUCUAAGUGGGAAGCCCACCUCAAGAUAAGUGUUCCC
rnacentral:rRNA from 1 species